rnacentral:rRNA from 1 species
UACGAAGGGGCUAGCGUUGCUCGGAAUCACUGGGCGUAAAGCGCACGUAGGCGGAUUGUUAAGUCAGGGGUGAAAUCCUGGAGCUCAACUCCAGAACUGCCUUUGAUACUGGCGAUCUCGAGUCCGGGAGAGGUGAGUGGAACUGCGAGUGUAGAGGUGAAAUUCGUAGAUAUUCGCAAGAACACCAGUGGCGAAGGCGGCUCACUGGCCCGGUACUGACGCUGAGGUGCGAAAGCGUGGGGAGCAAACAGG